rnacentral:misc_RNA from 1 species
AACUAAUCCUCUUUGCUUUUAUCCUUCUUCACCUUCUUGGGAAAGCGUUCAUGUGGCCCUAACUGAACUUCAACAUGCAUUUGUUACCAAAGUGAUACAAAAUGACUAUGAAAGCUAUUCUUAAACCUAUAUAACAUUUCUAAAUGCAACUUGUCUGGAUUCUCUUUCCAUACCUCUCUUAACAUAGCACAACUAUCGAUCAACUUAGUUUCUAACUUAAAUAGAAGGUUCCCAACUCGCCUUCCACCUACAAUGGAAAC